rnacentral:rRNA from 1 species
UACGGGGGGGGCAAGCGUUGUUCGGAAUUACUGGGCGUAAAGGGCGCGUAGGCGGUUGGAUAAGUCAGCUGUGAAAACCACGAGCUUAACUCGUGGCCUGCAGUUGAGACUGUCGGGCUUGAGUGUGGGAGAGGAGAGUGGAAUUCCUGGUGUAGCGGUGAAAUGCGUAGAUAUCAGGAGGAACACCGGUGGCGAAGGCGGCUCUCUGGACCACAACUGACGCUGAGGCGCGAAAGCUAGGGGAGCAAACAGG